AAGUGAUAUUUCAAUAGUUAAGGUACUCAACUUUCAAUUGAAAGGUCGUAGGUUUAAAUCCUAUUCCGCUUA
rnacentral:tRNA from 1 species